CAGGAUGAACGCUAGCGGCAGGCUUAACACAUGCAAGUCGAGGGGCAGCGCGAGUAGCAAUACUUGGCGGCGACCGGCGCAAGGUGCGUAACGCGUGAGCAACAUGCCCGUAUCAGGGGGAUAAUCCUAGGGAAACUUGGUCUAAUACCCCAUAGUAAUUUUUGUAAGGCAUCUUAUAAGAUUUAAAGCUUUGGUGGAUACGGAUUGGCUCGCGUGACAUUAGCUGGAUGGUAAGGUAACGGCUUACCAUGGCUAUGAUGUCUAGGGGUUCUGAGAGGAAGGUCCCCCACACUGGAACUGAGACACGGUCCAGACUCCUACGGGAGGCAGCAGUGAGGAAUAUUGGACAAUGGGAUGGAAAUCUGAUCCAGCCAUGCCGCGUGAAGGAAAAGAAGGUCCUAUGGAUUGUAAACUUCUUUUGUAUGGGUAGCAAUAAGGCCUACGAGUAGGUUGAUGAGAGUACCAUACGAAUAAGCACCGGCUAACUCCGUGCCAGCAGCUGC
rnacentral:rRNA from 1 species